rnacentral:rRNA from 1 species
AGCGAACGCUAUCGGCGGGCCUAACACAUGCAAGUCGAGCGGGGAGCAAUCCCCACGCGGCGGGAUGGGUGAGUAACACGUAGGUUAUGUGCCCUUUGGUGGGGAAUAACCGUGGGAAACCAUGGCUAAUUCCGCAUAUCGAGCGAAAUCUUGAAAGCCUUCGGGCGCCAAAGGAGCAACCUGCGGCCCAUUAGCUUGUUGGUAGGGUAACGGCCUACCAAGGCGAUGAUGGGUAGCUGGUCUGAGAGGAUGAUCAGCCACACUGGAACUGAGACACGGUCCAGACUCCUACGGGAGGCAGCAGUGGGGGAAUAUUGCGCAAUGGGGGGAAACCCUGACGCAGCCACGCCGCGUGAGUGAUGAAGGCCUUCGGGUUGUAAAGCUCUGUCGGGAGGGACGGAAGGGGAAACCCGUAGACGGUACCUCGCAAGAAAGACACCGG